rnacentral:rRNA from 1 species
AACUUUCAACAACGGAUCUCUUGGUUCUGGCAUCGAUGAAGAACGCAGCGAAAUGCGAUAAGUAAUGUGAAUUGCAGAAUUCAGUGAACCAUCGAAUCUUUGAACGCACAUUGCGCCCCCUGGUAUUCCGGGGGGCAUGCCUGUUCGAGCGUCAUUU